AUCUGCAGAGAAUAGGCAUAAGAUUCAGGUAGGCUCAGUAUCGUAAACUCUGUUAAGCCUUAAGAGUCAGCCAGAAACGUGAGCUCUAGGGAACUCAAAGUUGCUGCAGCUUGGAAACAUACACUUGUUUCAGUGCCAGAAUACUGAAAUGAAGAUGCAAAGCUAGGUGAAUUCAUACCUUCUCCAUGAGUCAAGCAAAGGGCAGGGUUACUUUUAUAAAAGAGGAAGAUGAUUUUGAUCAAAUGCAUUUCCUUUGUGGAACUGAAAGUCAAUUGAUCUCAGCUGCUUAAGGGCAGACUAUGAAGACAUGUAGACAUGUUCUAAGAGCAUUUUACAUUAAUUUUGGGAAAUUGAGAAAUAGAACCCACUGACACAGAAGGAAGGGAAAGUUGAAGGCUAUGAAGAGAGGGAAUUAAGUAUUGCUCAUUUUUCUAGUAAAUUGAUACCCAGCAAUAGUAGGAUUAGUAAAAUUUUCCAGAAGGAAAGGGUAAUAUAAAAAGCCUCAGGACUGAGAAGUUUGCAUUUAAUGAGGUUCUGCCUCUGAUUCCCCAAUGCUAGCAUCUUAUGAAUUGUAGGCUGACAUCCCUUAGUACUGGCCUAUGAUGGAGCCAAAGCCUUUUACAGCUCUGACCAAGACUGAGUCUGAACGUGGGUAACAGUGGUGGCAGUGGCAGACAAAACCCUUUAACAUUAAGGCUACUGGUAGAGUCAAACUGAGUACAUGGGAAGGGGGGAGGGGGAGAAUCUAGAAGUUGCCAAUAAGGUCAUAAACAUGGAAUGUGAGUAGUCUUUAAUAUAGUCUCAGAACCUUUGUUAUUAGAGAUGACAGGAGGUUGGAGUCUGGAUCAUGGGAGAGAAAAUGGAAUCUAUGUGUUAGGGAAGAUGUCACAAGCUGUUGACCACUCCAGAGUAAGAGGUACUGAGCUAUUCUGUUUUUCAGCUUAGCCUUACCAAGAUCUGAAGAAGGAUAUGGAUACCUGGAGGAUGGACACCAUAGUACUCUACUCUGCCAUCACCUUCUGCCCAAAAUAGGGUCCUUAAUACACAUGACUGUGAAUUUGGUCAUCCAUGGUCCAGCCAUGGCUUAAGAUUCUGGCUUGUUCGGGUUGCAAUCAUGGCUCACAUAAUGUCCAGCUAGCAAGAACGGUUCAACUAGGCUUUGGCCUAACUGUGCCUUCUUAAGAGAGACUGGAGCAACGCACCCAGAAGGAAAAUUCUCAGGGCAUUUUUCUCUCCUGCCAAUGCAAUCACCCACCUGUUCUCCCCACAAAGAUGAAUGCUUCAUUAAAGCAUUUAAUUCUAGGAACUGCAAAAUGAAGUUACCUGCUGCAUCUGCUUGAACUGCUUUCCUAAGCCAAUCACCACUGACAAUAAGGAACAACUCUUCCUAAGCAUCUUUCUCCAGAAACUGCAAAGUCAGACCAUGCUCUUGUCCUGAACACAGGCAAGUCUUCCAGAUCAGACUUCCCUGCACUCAGUGUUCACCUCAAAAGGCUGACUGACAUUGACAGGCAGUUCAGCUCCCACCGUGUGCAGAGGAUUGAAGGACAGAGUCAAUGUCACAUUCACCAAAAAGUCAUUAAGCUGUUUUGUGAGGCAAACCAGACAUCACUCUGUGUGCCUUGUUACCAAGCCAAAGGAGCAUGGGGCCCACACAUUUUUCUCCUUCAGAGGAAGCCAUUCAAAAUUAAAGGGGCUAAGAUUCAGCAUCAAAACAUUUCUUAGGAACUCACACUCCUGUUUCCUAAAGGUCCAGGAAACAACUCUCAAGUUAUUUCUGGAAAGAGUUUGAAGAAGUCCCAAAACUUCUCUCUUUGGAGGAGAAGGAUACCAGGGAGCUUCUGGAAAGUUAAUUUGCUAUUUGGAGUGCAGCAGAGGUGAGGUGAGGCAUUAAAUGGGUAGUGGGAGACAGGGAGUAUUUGCAUGGCCUAAAGAGGGAAUACAAUAACAGAGGAGCUAACAUGCCAGUGCCUAGGUUGACAAUUAUACAGAGGUUUUGUGUUCCAGGUAAAGUAUAUGGCUUAGGUAUAUGGAGUAGGCAGAAUAGCAGAUUUUGUUUGCUUUAUAGGAGUCAGUGUUGUCUCAAAGGCCAAAGCUUGUCCUUCCAGAGCUGAGAGAAUAUCCCAUCACUGGGAUGAGGGAAAUGCUCAAUAAAUUCCUAGAUAAAAAACAAACGUUUGAUAUCGAGCCAAUAUUUGGAAAUUCAGAGGUGGUUGUCUGUCUGGGCAGUCUCUCCAGCAGAUGUAGCUAGCUUAGGGGUCCUGGCACAUUGAUAAAGGAUGCCAAAAUAGCCUGCCAGUCAGGGGUGAGAUUCAGCAUUCUCCUUGGUAGGGAUAUGAGAAGGGUAAGGGUUAUUCAUUCUAACAUAUUAAUAAUAAUUGCCAUAAUAAUAACAAUCAUGAGGCUAGCAUUUACAUAGCACUUAAAGGUUUGCAGAUCCCUUUAUAAAUAUUGUGUAAUCUUAUCCACACAUCAGCCCUAGGGGGCAGGUGCUAUUUUUAUCUAUUUUAAAGAUGAAGAAACAGAGAGUCAAGUGGCUUUCUUCAUGGCACACAGCUAAUAGGUCAUGUCAUGAUGUGUAUUUAGGUCUUCCUGACUCCACCUUCAGCUCUUUAUAUACCAUGCCACCUAACUGCUCCUUGUGUCUCUAUCAGCCCAUGAAACCUCAAUGAGAAACUGCCCCCAAGAAACUAUGACCAGAGCACUUUACUAUAGCCACUUACUUCCUGGAACAUUCUGUGAAAGACAGACUUUCUCAUCUGUUGGAAAAUUAAACUGUCGGUGAGCUUAAAAUGUUUCCUAUCGAGUCUUCCUAUGAACUCCUUUGCUGCCACAAAAUUAUAACCCAAUUUAUGCCAGAAGUAUGAAUUCUCAGCCUCCCACAUUGUACUUUCAUCCUUGAUCGCAUCUUCUGUCUAUACAUAGCUGCUCAUGUUCUCAGAAUCUUUAAGUGACAAGGAUGAUGGCACAAGAAUAUCUGAAUAGGAAAUCAUGAAAAAAUCAAUCAUAGCUCACA